GACGUAGGGCGCGAGCGUUGUCCGGAUUUAUUGGGCGUAAAGGGCGCGUAGGCGGCAUGGCAAGUGGAAGGUGAAAUCCCUCGGCUUAACCGAGGAACUGCCCUCCAAACUGCUUUGCUUGAGGCCGGGAGAGGUGAGUGGAAUUCCCAGUGUAGCGGUGAAAUGCGUAGAUAUUGGGAGGAACACCAGCGGCGAAGGCGGCAUCCUGGACUGGUCCUGACACUCAGGAGCGAAAGCGUGGGGAGCGAUCCGG
rnacentral:rRNA from 1 species